rnacentral:rRNA from 1 species
UACGUAGGGCGCAAGCGUUAUCCGGACUUAUUGGGCGUAAAGAGCUCGUAGGCGGUUUGUCGCGUCUGCCGUGAAAGUCCGGGGCUCAACUCCGGAUCUGCGGUGGGUACGGGCAGACUAGAGUGAUGUAGGGGAGACUGGAAUUCCUGGUGUAGCGGUGAAAUGCGCAGAUAUCAGGAGGAACACCGAUGGCGAAGGCAGGUCUCUGGGCAUUAACUGACGCUGAGGAGCGAAAGCAUGGGGAGCGAACAGG